rnacentral:rRNA from 1 species
CUCUGGUCGUCCGAGUUGUAGUCUGGAGAAGCGUUUUCUGUGUUGGACCGUGUAUAAGUCUCUUGGAACAGGGCGUCAUAGAGGGUGAGAAUCCCGUCUUUGACACGGACUACCGAUGCUUUGUGAUGCGCUCUCAAAGAGUCGAGUUGUUUGGGAAUGCAGCUCAAAAUGGGUGGUAAAUUCCAUCUAAAGCUAAAUACAGGCGAGAGACCGAUAGCGAACAAGUACCGUGAGGGAAAGAUGAAAAGCACUUUGGAAAGAGAGUUAAACAGUACGUGAAAUUGCUGAAAGGGAAACGCUUGAAGUCAGUCAUGUCUGCCAGGACUCAGCCUUGCUUCUGCUCGGUGCACUUUCUGGUUGGAUGGGCCAGCAUCAAUUUCGACCAUUGGAGAAAGGCUUUGGGAAUGUGGCACCUUUGGGUGUGUUAUAGCCCUUUGUCGUAUGCGACGGUUGGGAUUGAGGACCGCAGCAUGCCUUUACGGCCGGGGUUUGCCCACGUACGUGCUUAGGAUGUUGGCAUAAUGGCUUUAAGCGACCCGUCUUGAAACACGGACCAAGGAGUCUAACAUGCCCGCGAGUGUUUGGGUGGAAAACCCAUGCGCGUAAUGAAAGUGACAGCUGAGAUCCUCUCAUCAGGAGCAUCAGCACCUGGACUCGAUCUACGGAGACGGUUCUACGGUAGAGCGUGUAUGUUGGGACCCGAAAGAUGGUGAACUAUGCCUGAAUAGGGUGAAGCCAGAGGAAACU